rnacentral:rRNA from 1 species
AUUGAACGCUGGCGGCGUGCCUAACACAUGCAAGUCGAGCGGUAACAGGUGUAGCAAUACAUGCUGACGAGCGGCGAACGGGUGAGUAAUGCUUCGGAAUCUGCCCAUGUAGUGGGGAAUAACCAGCCGAAAGGUUGGCUAAUACCGCAUACGACCCUUGCCCACAAGGCAAAGGUGAAAGCAGGGGAUCGCAAGACCUUGCGCUAUUGGAUGAGCCGAAGUCGGAUUAGCUAGUUGGUAGGGUAACGGCCUACCAAGGCGACGAUCCGUAGCUGGUCUGAGAGGACGACCAGCCACACUGGGACUGAGACACGGCCCAGACUCCUACGGGAGGCAGCAGUGGGGAAUAUUGGACAAUGGGGCAACCCUGAUCCAGCGACGCGCGUGUGUGAAGAAGGCCUGCGGGUUGUAAAGCACUUUUAGUGGGGAUGAAAAGCCGAGUGCUAAUAUCAUUCGGUCUUGACGUUACUUAC